rnacentral:rRNA from 1 species
AACGAACGCUGGCGGCAUGCCUAACACAUGCAAGUCGAACGAGACCUUCGGGUCUAUUGGCGCACGGGUGCGUAACGCGUGGGAACCUUCCCUUAUGUUCGGAAUAACUCCCCGAAAGGGGUGCUAAUACCGGAUAAUGUCUUCGGACCAAAGAUUUAUCGCCUUUGGAUGGUCCCGCGUUGAAUUAGCUAGUUGGGAAGGUAAAAGCCUACCAAGGCGACGAUCCAUAGCUUGCCUGAGGGGAUGAUCAGCCACACUGGGACUGAUACACGGCCCAGACUCCGACGAGAGGCAGCGAUAGGGAAUCUUCCGCAAUGGGCGAAAGCCUGACGGAGCAACGCCGCGUGAGUGAUGAAGGUCUUCUGACCGGAAAACACUGUGAUUAGGGAAGAACAUACGUGUAAGUAACUGUGCACGUCUGGACGGUACCUAAUCAGAAGGCCACGGCUAACUACGUG